AGAGUUUGAUCCUGGCUCAGAACGAACGCUGGCGGCAUGCUUAACGCAUGCAAGUCGAACGUGAAGCCAGGCUUCGGCCUGGUGGAGAGUGGCGCACGGGUGAGUAACGCGUGGGAACCUGCCCAGCGGUACGGAACAACCACGGGAAACUGUGGCUAAUACCGUAUACGUCCCCCUUGGUCAUGCUUGGGGGAGAAAGAUUUAUCGCCGUUGGAGGGGCCCGCGUCGGAUUAGGUAGUUGGUGGGGUAAAGGCCUACCAAGCCGACGAUCCGUAGCUGGUCUGAGAGGAUGAUCAGCCACACUGGGACUGAGACACGGCCCAGACUCCUACGGGAGGCAGCAGUGGGGAAUAUUGGACAAUGGGCGCAAGCCUGAUCCAGCAAUGCCGCGUGAGUGAAGAAGGCCUUAGGGUUGUAAAGCUCUUUCACCGGGGAAGAUCAUGACGGUACCCGGAAAAGAAGCCCCGGCUAACUCCGUGCCAGCAGCCGCGGUAAUACGGAGGGGGCUAGCGUUGUUCGGAAUUACUGGGCGUAAAGCGCGCGUAGGCGGCUUGCCAAGUCGGACGUGAAAGCCCGGGGCUCAACCCCGGAAUUGCGCUCGAAACUGGCAGGCUAGAGACCGGGAGAGGAGAGUGGAAUUCCCAGUGUA
rnacentral:rRNA from 1 species